rnacentral:tmRNA from 1 species
GGGGUCGUUAUGGAUUCGACGGGUAUGGUUCGUGCUCGAACUGCAUUCCGCACGACGAUGCGUUAAAUCGUUCAGUUUAAAUUAUAACUGCAAAAAAUAAUACAAACUCUUACGCCUUAGCUGCCUAAACACCAGCUGACGUAGAUCCAGCUAACUUCGUCCAUGGGUUAGUUCUGGGUCCUAAAUUUAAUGGACUAACGCUUCUUUGUCUCCACCUGGGGCAAGAAGAAGAGACUAAUCAGGUUAGCUUUUCAUAUUAGCCUUGGUUAAUGGCGUGAUGAAAAGCGAAGUUUAAAUAAUCAACCUAUGAAUGUAGACGUUCGAGUGGCGGCAUAUUCGGACGCGGGUUCAAAUCCCGCCGACUCCAUUA